ACGUGGGUGAUCUGCCUUGCACUUCGGGAUAAGCCUGGGAAACUGGGUCUAAUACCGGAUAGGACCAUGCUUUAGUGUGUGUGGUGGAAAGUUUUUCGGUGCAAGAUGAGCCCGCGGCCUAUCAGCUUGUUGGUGGGGUAAUGGCCUACCAAGGCGACGACGGGUAGCCGGCCUGAGAGGGUGUACGGCCACAUUGGGACUGAGAUACGGCCCAG
rnacentral:rRNA from 1 species